rnacentral:tRNA from 1 species
GCCCAGAUGGCGGAAUUGGUAGACGCGCUAGCUUCAGGUGCUAGUACCGCAAGGCGUGCAAGUUCGAGUCUUGUUCUGGGCA